GCCCUCGUAGUUCAACGGAUAGAACAGUCCCGUCCUAAGGGAUUGAUGUGGGUUCAAUUCCUGCCGAGGGCA
rnacentral:tRNA from 1 species